GUGAAUGUGGCUUUUUCAACCCUGGGCCUGAAGUUCCCCACCGCUGCCUCCAGGGUACUGGGUCUAGUUGAGAUGUAUGCAGUUCUGUAGGACUUGCUAGAUAUGAACAAACGGAAACUCAAUUAGCCAUCUCAAGGCACUGGGGAAAACCCUGAACUGUCUGGGUGAGUUCCAAAUAUCUUUCAGGACUAAAGAGGGCAUCACAAGCCCAUGUUGAUGGCCUUUCAGCUGAUUCCCUGGUGGCCCGCUGGAAUGCGGAGUUAACCAGGGCUAUCGACUGUCUGGCUCCGAAGCGCCCUCUCCGAUUGCAUGGAGCCCGGACAGCCCGUGGUUUUCUUCGGAGCUGAGGGCGAUGAAACAAUCGCUGAGACGGCUAGAGCGUCGGUGGCAGAAAACUCACUCCGAAUCUGACCGGACACAGGUUAGAGCUCAACGUCUGAGCCUACCAAGUGGCGAUAGCGACGGCGAAGAAGACUUUCUUCACCGCCUCUAUUGCAUCUGCAGAAAAUAGUAGCAGGAGACUCUUUCAGGUGGUUCGCAAUUUAACGGAACCACCUUUACCACCGGGGCAUUGUAAAGACCCCAAGAUCUCCUGCAACGAUUUUGCAAAGUUUUUUGCAGAUAAAAUCACUCAUAUUCGGAAGGAGCUAGACACCACCGUGGGAGCAGGGCCAGGGCGGGAGAGUGCUAGAGCUCUGUCUGGUCAAGUUGCAUGGAAUCAAUUUCAAUCCGUUACCCCGAGGAUGUGGACAGGCUGCUUGGACGCGUGAAAGCAACCACCUGUCUCCUUGAUCCUUGCCCAUCCUGGCUAAUAAAAGCAAGCCGGGAAGGGCUGGGCGAUGGGCUCUGCGGGGUGGUGAAUGCUUCCCUCUGUGAGGGAACAUUCCCAGAUCCGCUGAAAGAGGCGGUCAUUAAACCGCUUCUUAAAAACCAUCUUUAGACCCGGCCAGUAUGGCCAACUAUCGCCCAGUCUCAAAUCUUCCAUUCUUGGGCAAGGUGAUUGAGCGUGUGGUUGCUGAACAACUCCAGGCACGCCUGGAGGAUGCGGACCAUUUGGAUCCCUUCCAAUCGGGAUUCAGGCCUCACCAUGGGACUGAAACUGCCUUGGUCGCACUGGUUGAUGAUCUCCGGCGAGCUAGGGACAAAGGUGAGAGUUGUUUCCUGGUUCUGCUGGAUCUCUCAGCGGCCUUUGAUACAAUCGACCAUAACAUCCUUCUGGACCGUCUAGAGGGGCUGGGAGCUGGGGGCACUGUUAUACAGUGGUUUCGCUCCUUCCUCCUGGGCCGUGUUCAGAAAGUGGUGGUGGGGAUGAGUAUUCAGACCCCUGGGCCCUCACUUGUGGGGUGCCUCAGGGUUCCGUCCUCUCCCCCAUGCUUUGUAACAUCUAUAUGAAGCCGCUGGGAGAGAUCAUCAGGGGAUUUGGACUGGGUGUCCAUCAAUAUGCAGAUGAUACCCAGCUCUACCUCUCUUUCAAAUCAGAACCAGUGAAGGCGGUGAAGGUCCUGUGUGAGUGCCUGGAGGCGGUUGGAGGAUGGAUGGCGGCUAAUGGAUUGAAGUUGAAUCCUGACAAGACAGAAGUAUUGUUUUUGGGAGACAGGGGGCGGGCUGGUGUGGAGGACUCCCUGGUCCUGAAUAGGGUAACUGUGCCCCUGAAGGACCAGGUGCGCAGCCUGGGAGUCAUUUUGGACUCACAGCUGUCCAUGGAGGCACAGGUCAAUUCUGUAUCCAGGGCAGCUGUCUACCAACUCCACCUGGUACGCAGGCUGAGACCCUACCUGCCCGCGGACUGUCUCGCCAGAGUGGUGCAUGCUCUGGUUAUCUCCCGCUUGGACUACUGCAAUGCGCUCUACGUGGGGCUACCUUUGAAGGUGACCCGGAAACUACAAUUAAUCCAGAAUGCGGCAGCUAGACUGGUGACUGGGGUAGAGGGAACCAGAAAUUUCACCUGAAAGUUGGUAUGUCCAACCAGCUAAGGGAUAACCCACACCCCUCAUCUCCCAACUCAUUGUUUAUGUGGCAUUUGUCAUUGGGGAAGAGGUUUUAUGAUUUUGCAGAUGGAGAACUGAGGUUGAGACAUUUUGGCCUUAAAGCCAGGUCCCCCAUUAUAAAUAUCUCCCUGCACUCUGCUUUCUCUUCUGACGCAACUUUGCAAGAAACAGAUGUGCCAAAAUACGAAGAGCUGCCUGAGGAUAAAUAUCAAGUUUAGAAGGUCUCUGUCAUUCACCUGCUUGUGUCACUAAGCGAGCACUAAGCAGAAGGCAGUAUGAUAAAAGCCCUGGAAUGCACCAUUGAAAUAGCAAAUGCAAGGUCUGCACUAACGGUUUAUAAGGCCAAGGAUGCCUCUGAUCCGCAGCUAACCUUCCAUUCACGAGAAAUGCAAAACAAAACAGAAAAUGUGAUAACAUUUAAAAAUAAUUACAAUGCCUAGGAGGAUGAAAUACAUAAUUACAGCACUUAUAUUUAUAUCUGAAUGGAUACAAUCUUGUUCUUGGUGUAUUUUUGCUUAGAACAGAUGCAGCAAGCCCCCCCUUUUUUAUUCUGGUCCCCCACAUAAAUUACCAUAUUUGCCUGAGAGCGACUGUAGGCACCAUUCUCUUUCUGAUUUUCAUUCUUGCACACAUUUAAACAAUGAGAUUGGAAGGAAGUACAGUUCUUAUUUACACCUGCAUUUUUUAAUCCAUGCAAAAUCCUGUUUAGGCAGUGCUGGGCUGAAGGGUAAGGGAAUAUUACAGUAUCUUCAAAGCCAAUGUGCCUCAGGCCCAACGGAGUAGUGUGGCUGACACUUAGCCAGCGAGGAUAAAUCAAUCAAUUCAUUAGCUGUAUGAAGCCUCCAGUUUCUGAGGUAGUCUGUCCCUAAAUACACUUGGUAAGAAACAACAAGGAGAGGGAACUAUUGCCCUUAUGCUUGUGGGCUUCCCAUAGGCAUCUGGUUGACCACUGUGGAAAAAGGAUGCUGAACUAGAUGGACUUUAUGUCAGAUCCAUCAAAACUGCUGUUAUGCUCAAAGCUGGAUCUCACGCCACUCCGCUAGUGUUUGAAGGAAGGAUUUUCUGUACAGUCUCAAAGUUUAGCUACUACCGUAUCUGUGCUGGCAACCCAGACUGGAGAGGUAAGGAAUGCUAUCAUGGAUAGGACCUAUGUAUCCUCCAUCCCACUAGAGGUCCAGCCCUACUUUCAUGCAAGAUGAGGUGGUCCCAUGGUCAUAUUAUGGGGGAAAGGGUGCGGGCCUUAAUGCAAUGCAUUCUCCACUGCCCCAUUACACUUUAUCUCAGACCUUCAAUUAUAUAAAGAGGGGGAAGUGAGAAACUAUCAUUCUGUUCCUCAUGUCUGGCUGGCAGCUGGUAUCUUAAAUUUCCCAGUUACUAUUGCUACUUGGAUGUCAUUGGUGCUGACUUUCUCCUGGUCUGGUAGCUGGAGAGAGCAUAGAAACGACAUCAUCUUAGCCUGCAUUGUUUUUCUUAUUUAAUUCUUUUUUAAAUACAAUUCAACAUGUCAUAUCAAAAUAUGUGGUUCUAUAGACCAACUCUGAUGAAGCCCAGUUGGGCGAAACAAGGAAUUAUCCUGGAAUCCUUGUCUUCUUUUCUGCAUGUGCCAUUCUUCUAAGUCUUUCGUCUGAAACCUGCAUACAAAGAACGCUAGAAUUCUUUAAAGCAUCUUCAUGUGGAACAUUACAAGAUUGAUAUAAGAAUUCCACAUCGUGGAUAUUGCUAGCAUAAGAACUGAAUGGAAUGUAUUUCCCGGUCAAACUGCUGGACUCUAAUUUCUCAUAAUAUGUUUUGUUUAUAUGAUAAGUUGGUCUACAGAACCACAUAUUUUGAUAUGACAUGUUGAAUUGUAUUUCAAAAAGAAUUAAAUAAGUUUUUUUAAAAAAAAAAAUCAUAUAAUUACAUACAGCCUGUCACACUGUAUGUGUUGUCCAGUUUUACAUUUACGUGACAAAGGGUUUGAUAGUGUUUUGGCCUACAGGCUAGGAACAGGCAAAGCUGUCAACUUUGGUUCCUCUCAGUUUCUCAGUUUUCCAAUCUUAAGUUCAACUUUUCCAUAUUCUCACAUCAGUUUGCCAUUGUUGGUUUUUUUAAAGGUCUCCUGAAAGGUUGUCACUGUUCUCUGCAUUUCCCAUUGCUCCUUGACCAUUGGCCAUGAUGGGUGAAGCUAAGGGGGGAUGAGUCCAACAAAAUUCGAAAGAUGUCAUUUUGGCUACGCUUCUUGUAGUCACCACGCCACACCAGUUAUCCAGUUGACAGACAUCAGGCUCUAAUGCUCCAAAGAGAAAUGCCAGAUAAAACGAUGGUAGGAAUCUAACUGCUGCUUGUUUUGGUAGUGGGGAAGGAAAUAUUUUGCAACUUGAUCUGAGAGAAAAGAGAGCAGCAUAGGUAUCAAGUGUAAUUAUGUUAUUAAACUGUGAGCGUUCCUUCAGUUUUUCAUAAUCUCAUUUAGUGUUUCUGAUGUCAAGCUAAAUUAUUUUUAAUUGCUUUUAUGAAAAAUAUUAGAUGCAUUAAUGGUUUUCUGAACUAGCUCUGAGAGUGCAAUUUUGUGAGAGAAUUUCUUUAUCUUCUCCAAAGAGUUUUAGUUAAUGUGCAUGUAUCGGUAAUUGGAGUGACUAAGCUAGUAAGUAAUCACAGUGUUAUUAUCAUUAAGGAAAGCACACAAUGUCACACCAUGGUAAUAUUCCUCCUCCGCACCGUUUCUUGUUGGGCACGAUGGUGUUAGCAUUAAACAUUCAUGCUGGCUCUCUCCUAUUGUUCAGCUUCAAAUAUGUUGAGAGCCAUUCAUAACUAAAGCAAUGGGGUAGCUGCAUGCUAUUCACCUCCUGCACGAUCAUGUGCUGGGCAACACACACAAGUAAAAGCAUGGGUGAUGGUUAAAUGAUAAAGCUCAUGCUACAAAAUCAGAAACGGGAGCAAGCAUGUACCCACACUGUCACAAUGUAGAAAUAUGUGAAUGAUCUUGGGAUCCAUACACUGUCCCCAAAGCAUAGCGGGGCAUAUGAUUCACGCCUAGCCCAAUUAAAGAUCCUCUUGCAGAUGCAGCUCACCUUGCCAACAAAAAAUGUUAAAGCUGUUGCUAUGCGAUUCAUUCCUAAGGAUGUAAGAAGAACCCUGCUGGAUCAGACCAGCUUCCUGUUCUCACAAUGGCCAGCCAGAAACCAACCAGCAGGACCAGGACCUGAGCACAACAGCAGUUUCCGCUGCACUUGUGAUUCAGGUGCAGCGUGCAGGAAAAGGCUGUCCUCAGGUGUGGGUGGAAGAUUUUGUCCCAAUGCCAGUGUUGAAGUAAUAAGAUUCAACAGCAAGUUGGCUUGGCUUUUGUAUAUGGAAUUGGGAGGCCUCGGGCACCACGUUCUCUUGGUCUAACCCUGGCCUUCAGAUGAUCAGGUGCAAAAUGGUGAAAUACGUGGGAGAGGGAAAGAGGGAGAGGGAGGGAGAGGGAGAGGAAGAGAGAGAGAGAUAGACUGGCUAUUCACCAGGUGGAAAAGAAGUGCUCACAAUGAAGGAGACAUCAACCCUUUGCAGUAUGAAAAAGAACCAAAUAGCAUUUUGUGGCUGUAUAAUAUUUCUGCUUUGCUUUAGAUGCUAUAGGUUGUUCCUCCUCUCCACCUUUUAUUUUGGCAGUGUUUCUUCUGAAUCACGAACACCACAUGCAGAGUAUGUGCUCCCAAGAGGCUGCAAGCAAAUGUUUCCAGGAAAAUAAAAACCACCCUGAAUUUAUAAGUGUGACAUUUCUAAAUCCCAGUGAAUUUCUAAACUGGGGGUGGGGAAGGAAGCAGCUAACAAAAUGGAAACCUUUCCUGCUUUCUGUUCCCUUCAGUGCUUCCAGGAGGGAUGGGCAGAAUAAGGGGCAUAGUUUACAACCCCUGAGCAGUACAGAGCAGCCAUCACUGGGAAACCUUAUCUUGACUGUUCUUGUAAGGCAGCAAUUUCUGAGCUUGAAGCAGAGAUAAGGAGAGAAAGACAGACUGAUAGACAUAGCAACUUCAGAGGAGACUGAAU